UACGUAGGGUGCAAGCGUUGUCCGGAAUUAUUGGGCGUAAAGAGCUCGUAGGCGGUUCGUCACGUCGGCUGUGAAAACCCGGGGCUCAACCCCGGGCCUGCAGUCGAUACGGGCGAACUAGAGUGCGGUAGGGGAGACUGGAAUUCCUGGUGUAGCGGUGAAAUGCGCAGAUAUCAGGAGGAACACCGGUGGCGAAGGCGGGUCUCUGGGCCGUAACUGACGCUGAGGAGCGAAAGCGUGGGGAGCGAACAGG
rnacentral:rRNA from 1 species